rnacentral:rRNA from 1 species
CCAAUAGCGUAUAUUAAAGUUGUUGCAGUUAAAAAGCUCGUAGUUGAAUUUCGGGAUUGACACAUCGGUCGUGCCUUAAGGGGUAUGAACUGGUGUAGUCAAUUUCUCACCUUCUGGAGAACCGCGAUGCCCUUAAUUGGGUGUCACGGGGAACCAGGACCUUUACUUUGAAAAAAUUAGAGUGUUUAAAGCAGGCAUUUUGCUUGAAUACAUUAGCAUGGAAUAAUAAAAUAGGACGGCAUGAUUCUAUUUUGUUGGUUUCUAGGAUCACCGUAAUGAUUAAUAGGGAUAGUUGGGGGCAUUAGUAUUCAAUUGUCAGAGGUGAAAUUCUUGGAUUUAUUGAAGACUAACUACCGCGAAAGUAUUUGCCAAGGAUGUUUUCAUUAAUCAAGAACGAAAGUUAGGGGAUCGAAGACGAUCAGAUACCGUCGUAGUCUUAACCAUAAACUAUGCCGACUAGGAAUCAGACGAUGUUAAUUUUUUAAUGACUCGUUUGGCACCUUACG